AACUCUUUCCUGAAUUUUCAGCUUUGUACAAUUGGUGCUAUUUCUUUUCUUCUUUUUCUUUAACGUUGCACCCAAAUCGAUGACGAGUGCAAGCAAUUCUUGGAGCUGAAGACGAGGAUGAACUAUUGGUUCGUCACAUUCAAGAUCGAAGAUCAUCACAUUUUUGAAAAUUUUGAUGGAAGGUAUAUAGGCAUACCCUUUUAAUGAGAACUCGUAUAUAGUGGAAGUUUUUGUCCCUUAGGCUAUAUUUGGUAAAUGGUUUCUCUUUCCAGUUAAAAUAUAUGAUAGAUUGAAAGGGAGAACUCGUAUGGUUAUAUUCUAAGUGUAAGAAUGUAAUAUUCUAAGUUUACUUAUCAAGAACAUUGUGUUAUUGGGGGAACAUAUCAGUUGACUGAAAGAAAUAACUAAUUCUCUAAGGUAUUUUCACCUAACAGUAAGAGGUAGAUAUUAGUUUGUAAGUUUGUUAGGCUAACAGUAAGAGGUUUUUUUUUUGUAUCAUGGUUGUUUAGUUUUCCUCCGAAGAAGAAGUUCAUGGAGGAAAAGGCUGGGGUUAUGGCUACGGCAGUGAAAGCAUAAUUGAUCAAUCAGCUAGAAUUCUUAUUGGUGUGUUGCUUAGCUUGAGGCUAUACUAUUUCUUUCUUGUAAUGCCUUGAAUAGUUGAAUGUAAUGUUGGAUAAAUAGUGUUUGAAUGUAAUGUUGGAUGAAAAAUAUUUAAAUAAAUGUAUAAAUUUUU
rnacentral:lncRNA from 1 species